UACCAAAGAGUCCAAAAUGA
rnacentral:piRNA from 1 species